GAUGAACGCUGGCGGCGUGCCUAAUACAUGCAAGUCGAACGAACAUACCCUUAUCUUGCUCCUCUGACUUUAGCGGCGGACGGGUGCGUAACACUUGGCUACCCUCCCUAUCAGACUGGGAUAACUUCGGGAAACCGGAGCUAAUACCUGCUAAUAUUUUGACCCGCAUGGUUCAAUAGUGAAUGCCGUUUUUGCUGUCACUUAUAGGUGGAUUCGCGCCGCAUUAUCUAGUUGGUAAGGUAACGGCUUACCAAGGCGACGAUGCGUAGCCGACCUGAGAGGGUGAGCGGCCACACUGGAACUGAGACAGGGACCAGACGCCGACGGGAGGCAGCAGUAGGGAAUGUGCGGCAAGGGGAGAAAGCCUGACGGAGAAACGGCGCGGGAGUGAGGAAGGUCGUCGGAUCGGAAAACUGUGCCACUAGGGAAGAACAAAUGGGUAAGUAACUAUGCAGGGCUGAACGUAACCGAAUCAGAAAGCCACGGCUAACUACGUG
rnacentral:rRNA from 1 species